UACAGAGGGUGCGAGCGUUGUUCGGAAUUAUUGGGCGUAAAGGGCGCGUAGGCGGUGCCACAAGUCACUUGUGAAAUCCCCGGGCUUAACUCGGGGCCUGCAGGCGAAACUGUGGUGCUGGAGUAGGGGAGAAUGGAAUUCCCGGUGUAGCGGUGAAAUGCGCAGAUAUCGGGAGGAACACCGGUGGCGAAGGCGGUUCUCUGGGCCUGACCUGACGCUGAGGAGCGAAAGCGUGGGGAGCGAACAGG
rnacentral:rRNA from 1 species